UCCCGAACGUUGAAACUGCUCUCGUCUUUCUCUAUCAAUCAAUCUUAUAUAUGUUUAUUUUCCCGGCGAAAUAUUCCUUCUCUCUCUCUCUCUCUCUCUCUCUCUCUCUCUCCUGUGAGAAUCAAACCCUUUCGAACUUGAAUUCUUCAAACCUACCCUGAUUGGAUUUUCAGUUUGAGAAUCUCAAGGUUGAUCUCCUUGGUUUUGAGAGAGGGGAAAGCUUCGAUAUCAGCCCUUCCGCUCAAGCACACACUCCCGAUCAAUGGUGUUUUCGGGAGUCUCUGAAAGAGACAGACCCCAGAAGUUCAUGGCUAUGGCUCCUGAAAGAUCGAGGCCUCUCCACAAUUUCAAUAUGCCUUCCUUGAAAUGGGGGAAUCAAAGGCAUCUUAGAUGUAUGAAAGUGAAUUCCAAUGAAGAAAUUCCCACCCUAGACCGCAGAUCAUCAGCUUCCGAAGCCAAAUUCGAAGGAUUCAUCAGCCGGCGAAAGGAAUUCGAUUCCACAAAGCGGAGACCUUCUAACGGCUCCCAAAGUUUCGAGAAGCUGCUUUUGCCGCCGAUAGGGGCUUAUGGUCAGAAAUCCGAGAUUGAGGGGGAUGUAGACGAUGGGAUUGCAGAGGUUAGAGAAAAACUCAUGUCUGAGCUCCGUACGGCUGCUAAUAAGAUUAGCGUUGCUAUUCUGGAGGAAGGCGAAGAAGAUGAGUCCGCGGCGGCGGUGAGGCCGUGGAAUCUUAGAACGAGGAGAGCAGCUUGUAGGGCUCCCAGUGAGCGCGGAGGAGGAGAUGCUGGAUGUUCAAACUCAAAGAAUGAAGAGCGCCAGUCAAAUUCUUCUCCUCUGCGGACCGACAAUUCGACCAUUAAAUCGCUUAGGCUGAGAGGUUUGUCCUCGGCGCAAGUUAGCGUGGAGAAGAAGGGGAGUCCUAAGUUUUCGAUCCCUCUUUCUCGGGAAGAUAUCGAGGACGAUUUUCUGUCGAUGACGGGGGCGAGGCCAUCUCGGAGGCCAAAGAAGAGGGCUAAGAUCGUACAGAAACAACUGGAUACAAUAUUUCCUGGCUUAUGGUUGUCAGAAAUAACGCCGGAUUCAUACAGAGUACCUGAUAUUCCUGAACCUGGAAAGAGAUAGGAAUUUUAUUACAACAGUUCCACUCGCUGACAAUUGGUGCAUUAUGACCUCAAGUGAUUCAAGAUCAUGAGAUUAGCUGUUUGCACUUAAAUCAAGGCAUAAUAAAAGGCACGCUACGUGAAUCUGCAGAGGAGGGGGAGAGUGAAUGCAGGGGAGAGGGAGUAAUGCAAAGGGUGCGGGUGGGGAGGUGGAAAGUGCGGCAGCCGGCCAUCAAGGGAGAUAGCAGGGAGGCCUGACGUUGCUCCGCACCUUGUAGAUGGUGGCAACAAUUGAAUCUGACACCCUCUGGACAAAGGACCAUGUCCAUUCUAAUGGGUUCAUGCUAUGAUGAAAUGGGUGAGAGUGGGACUAGUCAGGACACAGUAGCAAAUGUUAUUCUGGAUGUAGCUCUUGGGCUUGAGUAUGCUGUGGGGUACUCAUUUAUGGAUUUGAGAAACAGGAGAUUUCAAAUGUACAGGUUUGGGAUUAUUUGAAUAUGUAGUCUCUGUUUGCAACAUUGGCAUUUAGAUGUAUUUAUGAAAUCUGCAGUCUUAGAAUUUUCC